rnacentral:rRNA from 1 species
GACGUAGGGCGCGAGCGUUGUCCGGAUUUAUUUGGGCGUAAAGAGCUCGUAGGCGGUCUGUCGCGUCUGCUGUGAAACUCAGGGCUUAACCCUGAGCUUGCAGUGGGUACGGGCAGACUAGAGUGCGGUAGGGGAGACUGGAAUUCCGUGGUGAUAGCGGUGAUAUGCGCAGAUAUCAGGAGGAACACCGGUGGCGAAGGCGGGUCUCUGGGCCGUAACUGACGCUGGAGGAGCGGAAAGCAUGGGGGAGCGAACAGGA